UUCUGUUUGUGGUCAUAUUUCAAUGCCUUGUAUUUUUGUAUUGAAAUGUAUUGAAAUUAUAUUUUUGUAUUGAAAAUACUUCUAUACUGCAAACACGGGUACAGUGAAGAAAACUGCUUUACUGGUUUCCAAAUGUUAAUGGCACUGUUAAUUCUAUAGAUUUAGACUUCCAUGCUUAGGUGUCUGAUAUAAAGCUUACUAAUGACAAGGGAAAGGCUGCUGUUCAGUUUGAAUUGGUUGAAUCGGGAACUUAAUAUGAUCUACUAUAAUGAAAGAAGAUAUUAAAUUAUAUGGAACAACAAGAUUUUAGAAACCCUAUUGUCUGUCAGUAGGUUACUUUUUGAACUAUGUAUCUUGAUUUUCAGACGUUUACAGAUAAUGUGUUUAUUUUUGUACAGGCUACCAUUAAAAUAAUAUUAUUCCCCACCUUUUCUUUACAGUAAAGUGAAAUGAGAGGAAUUUCAUUGUUUGUUAUAGGAGAACAAGUCAGGAUUGCUGGGAGGAGGACAAGGAGGCUGAUUACUUGUGCAUGUUGAAGAACCUGCAGUAUUAAGCUGGACCAUAUUGUACAAAUUAAUGAGUUUCCAAGAAUCUGACAGUGCUGUUUUUCCAGGGAAGCUUCAGUCUUGCAGGAACAAAACCAGACACAGAACUUGGAACGUAGCUGGCUUCAAGGGGCCAAUCCUGAGGAAGAGAAUUUUGUGGGGAAUCUGGAUGGAUCUGGACCACCAACUACAGGGGUAGUGUUACAAAUUCCUGUUCAUGACUUGCUUAAAAUGAGGUUUUAAUCUUUCCUGCAGAGGAAAAAAU
rnacentral:lncRNA from 1 species